rnacentral:rRNA from 1 species
UACGUAGGGGCCAAGCGUUGUCCGGAUUUAUUGGGCGUAAAGAGCUCGUAGGCGGCUUUGUAAGUCGGAUGUGAAAUCCCCGGGCUUAACCUGGGAACUGCAUUCGAGACUGCAUGGCUAGAGUAUGGGAGAGGGAAGUGGAAUUUCAGGUGUAGCGGUGAAAUGCGUAGAUAUCUGAAGGAACAUCAGUGGCGAAAGCGACUUCCUGGACCAAUACUGACGCUCAUGUGCGAAAGCGUGGGGAGCAAACAGG